CGUGAGCUGGGUUCAGAACGUCGUGAGACAGUUCGGUCCCUAUCCGUCGCGGGCGCAGGAAAUUUGAGAGGAGCUGUCCUUAGUACGAGAGGACCGGGAUGGACGCACCGCUGGUGUACCAGUUGUCUCGCCAGAGGCAUCGCUGGGUAGCUAUGUGCGGAAGGGAUAAGUGCUGAAAGCAUCUAAGCAUGAAGCCCCCCUCAAGAUGAGAUUUCCCAUUUCUUCGGAAAGUAAGAUCCCUGAAAGAUGAUCAGGUAGAUAGGUCCGAGGUGGAAGCGUGGCGACACGUGGAGCUGACGGAUACUAAUCGAUCGAGGACUUAACCAA
rnacentral:rRNA from 1 species